rnacentral:rRNA from 1 species
AAAGGGUGGCCCAAAGCCUGAUGCAACAACGCCGCGUGAGGGACGAAGGCCUUCGGGUUGUAAACCUCUUUUAGCAGGGAAGAAGCGAAAGUGACGGUACCUGCAAAAAAAGCCCCGGCUAACUACGUGCCACCAGCCGCGGUAAUACGUACGGCGCAAGCGUUGUCCGGAAUUAUUGGGCGUAAAGAGCUCGUAUGCGGUUUGUCGCGUCUGCUGUGAAAAUCCUAGGCUCAACCUCGGACCUGCAUUGGGUACGGGCAAACUAGAGUGCGGUAAGGGAGAUUGGAAUUCCUGGUGUAGCGGUGGAAUGCACAGAUAUCAGGAGGAACACCAAUGGCGAAGGCAUAUCUCUGGGCCGUAACUGACACUAAGGAACGAAAGCGUGGGGAGCGAACAGGAUUAGAUACCCUGGUAGUCCACGCCGUAAACGGUGGGAACUAGAUGUGGGGUCCGUUCCACGGAUUCCGUGUCGCAGCUAACGCAUUAACUUCC